rnacentral:tRNA from 1 species
GCCUGGGUGGCUCAGUCGGUUGAGCAUCCGACUUCAGCUCAGGUCAUGAUCUCAUAGUUUGUGGGUUUGAGCCCCAUGCCAGGCU